AGGUUUCGGCCAGUGUUUUCAAUAAAAGUAAAAAUAAAUGUCAUUACAUUAGAAACUAAACAGACACUUUUUUGUCAUAAAUUAUUUCUUUACGCAAAAAUAUUAUAAAUUAAACAAAUGUACAUAAAAAAAGAAUUAUGUAACAUUUGUUGGUUCUCUGAAAAUGUUGUUUGAUUGUGACAGAACUUGGCGGAGUUGCUUUGGAUUCUGGCCCCACGACCCCGCAUACUGGUCUCAGUACCAGGAACACAUAAAUAGACUGGAACCUUAAUCUACUCGUCCCCGCCUGACCUAUGCAUCGAUUCAUGGGAGUAUCACUGUUCGCACGCAUGACACAAACUUUAGACGUGAGUCCCGAUCGGGUUCGGUUUCGGACCAACAGCGGCCUGAUUACGGGUCUCAGUACUAAGAGCACAUGAAUCGGGAGGAGUUCAGCAGUGAAAAAUGUCUCGACAAAUUCUGAAUUUGCGAAAUGGACCAGCAUCCAGUAGCUUCACAGUUCAAAUCUGCAUGAUACAUGUAAAACAUGAUAUUCGAUUCUACGAGUUACUUUAAUAGAUAGGAGAGAAAUUUGGACGAAUGUUGUGAGAUGAUUUAUUCUUGAAAUACAAAGUUAAAUUUCUGGACUUAGCAGAUUAUACCAGGUUCGAUCGAACCUUAAUAAACUGGGUGCAAUAAGUCUCGAACCUUGGCUGCGAAUGAGUACAAGGAGCACAUAUAAACAUGGGAGUCAAGCAAUCAGAUUGAUUCUGCUAUUUGUAUAAAUCAUCGGGGUGAAAUUUUCUACACAGAAAAAACCCCGUAAAUUAAA